ensembl:snRNA
ACCAUGUUUUUCUUGAGGUUGCACUACUGUCACAUGAGCGCAUAGUAAGGGCAGUACUGCUAACACCUAUAAAACACUACUAAUAACAUAGAUAAGGUAGGCAGCAAGUAUAUUGUCUCUGAGACUUGGGACUGCCUUUCUUCUCUGGAAUG